rnacentral:rRNA from 1 species
CCUACGGGAGGCAGCAGUGAGGAAUAUUGGUCAAUGGACGCAAGUCUGAACCAGCCAUGCCGCGUGCAGGAAGACGGCUCUCUGAGUUGUAAACUGCUUUUGUACGAGGGUAAACGCAGAUACGCGUAUCUUUCUGAAAGUAUCGUACGCAUAAGGAUCGGCUAACUCCGUGCCAGCAGCCGCGGUAAUACGGAGGGUUCAAGCGUUAUCCGGAUUUAUUGGGUUUAAGGGGUGCGUAGGCGGUCGGGUAAGUUAGAGGUGAAAUCCCGAGGCUCAACUUCGGAAUUGCCUCUGAUACUGGUCGGCUAGAGAGUAGUUGCGGUAGGCGGAAUGUAAGGUGUAGCGGUGAAAUGCUUAGAGAUCAUACAGAACACCGAUGGCGAAGGCAGCUUACCAAGCUACUUCUGACGUUGAGGCACGAAAGCGUGGGGAGCAAACAGGAUUAGAUACCCUUGUAGUC